UUCGCAAUGCCCGAAAGGGUGACGAAGCGACGCCGCGUGCGGGAAGAAGGCCUUCGGGUUGUAAACCGCUGUCGGGAGUUAGGAAAUGCAAGGAUGUUAAUAGCGUCUUUGCUUGACUAAGGCUCCGGAGGAAGCCACGGCUAACUCUGUGCCAGCAGCCGCGGUAAUACAGAGGUGGCAAGCGUUGUUCGGUAUUAUUGGGCGUAAAGAGCACGUAGGUGGUUUUGUAAGUCAGAUGUGAAAGCCUUCUGUUCAAAGGAAGAACGGCGUCUGAAACUGCAGAUCUUGAGUGUAGGAGGGGAGAGUGGAACUUCUGGUGGAGCGGUGAAAUGCGUAGAUAUCAGAAGGAACGUCGGCGGCGAAAGCGACUCUCUGGCCUAUUACUGACACUGAGUGUGCGAAAGUUAGGGGAGCAAACGGGAUUAGAUACCCCGGUAGUCCUAACUGUAAACGAUGGGCACUAAGUAGAGGGGUUUU
rnacentral:rRNA from 1 species